GGAUCAUUACAGAGGAGGGUGCUCAGCGCCCGACCUCCAACCCUUUGUUUGUUAAAACUACCUUGUUGCUUUGGCGGGACCGCUCGGUCUCGAGCCGCUGGGGAUUCGUCCCAGGCGAGCGCCCGCCAGAGUUAAACCAAACUCUUGUUAUUAAACCGGUCGUCUGAGUUAAAAUUUUGAAUAAAUCAGAACUUUCAACAACGGAUCUCUUGGUUCUCGCAUCGAUGAAAAACGCAAUGAAAUGCGAUAAGUAAUGUGAAUUGCAUAAUUCAGUGAAUCAUCCAAUCUUUGAACGCGCAUUGCGCCCCUUGGUAUUCCGAGGGGCAUGCCUGUUCGAGCGUUGUUACACCACUCAAGCUAUGCUUGGUAUUGGGUGCCGUCCUUAGUUGGGCGCGCCUUAAAGACCUCGGGGAGGCCUCACCGGCUUUAGGCGUAGUAGAAUUUAUUCCAACGUCUGUCAAAGGAGAGGACUUCUGCCGACUGAAACCUUUUAUUUUUCUAGGUAAAC
rnacentral:rRNA from 1 species